rnacentral:rRNA from 1 species
CUAUACAUGACUCUGCGCAUAUCAAUAAGCGGAGGAAAAGAAACUAACAAGGAUUCCCUUAGUAACGGCGAGUGAAGCGGGAAGAGCUCAAAUUUGAAAUCUUCAAGGUUUUACCUUGACGAAUUGUAGUUUAAAGAAGUGUUUUCUGCUGAAGUUUUGGUAAAAGUUCUUUGGAAUAGGACAUCAUAGAGGGUGAGAAUCCCGUAUUUGACCAUUAUUUUCAGCUUUGUGAUACACUUUCAAAGAGUCGGAUUGUUUGGGAAUGCAGCCCAAAACGGGAGGUAAAUUUCUUCUAAGGCUAAAUAUUGGCGAGAGACCGAUAGCGAACAAGUACCGUGAGGGAAAGAUGAAAAGAACUUUGAAAAGAGAGUUAAAUAGUACGUGAAAUUGUCAAAAGGGAAGCGUUUAACACCAGUGUUGUCUUCUGAGAAUCAACCUCUGUUAGCUUUAUGCAUGUUUGUUUAGACCUAAUCAGCUAUCUUGCAUGUUCUAUUGUUUGCAGUGGUGCUACUUUUCAGUUUACAGGUCAACAUCAGUUUUUUUUACCGUAAAAAAGUUAAAGAAAGGUAGCUCAUGGCUCCGGUCGUGAGUGUUAUAGUCUUUUUCCUAUGCGGUAGGAGAGACUGAGGUCUGCAGUGUAGGCUAUUUGGCUAGAUACUCAGGUGCUAUGUGAUACCAUUUCAUAAACAACUUGUUGAUUAUGUUUUGUCUAUUGCAUACUCGCUUGUACUAUCAUACCUACGCUUAGGAUGUUGAGUCGUAGAGCACGCAG